rnacentral:rRNA from 1 species
AUUGAACGCUGGCGGCAGGCCUAACACAUGCAAGUCGAGCGAACCUAGCUUGCUAGGUGAGCGGCGAACGGGUGAGUAACACGUAGGAAUCUGCACGAUAGUGGGGGACAACGUCUCGACGGGGACGCUAAUACCGCAUACGCCCUACGGGGGAAAGCAGGGGAUAUUCGGACCUUGCGCUAUCGGCUGAGCCUGCGUCGGAUUAGCGAGUUGGUGGGGUAAAUGCCUACCAAGGCGACGAUCCGUAGCGGGUCUGAGAGGAUGAUCAGCCACACCGGUACUGAGACACGGUCCGGACUCCUACGGGAGGCAGCAGUGGGGAAUAUUGGACAAUGGGGGCAACCCUGAUCCAGCCAUGCCGCGUGUGUGAAGAAGGCCUUCGGGUUGUAAAGCACUUUAAGCUGGGAGGAAGGUUCGCUGGCUAAUAUCCAGCGGAAUUGACGUUACCAGCAGAAUAAGCACCGGCUAACUCCGUGCCAGCAGCCGCAGUAA